GCCGCGGUAAUACAGAGGGUGCAAGCGUUUAUCGGAAUUACUGGGCGUAAAGCGCGCGUAGGCGGUUUGUUAAGUCGGAUGUGAAAUCCCUGGGCUCAACCUAGGCACUGCAUCCGAUACUGGCUAACUAGAGUGUGGGAGAGGAAGGUAGAAUUCCAGGUGUAGCGGUGAAAUGCGUAGAGAUCUGGAGGAAUACCGAUGGCGAAGGCAGCCUUCUGGCCUAACACUGACGCUGAGGUGCGAAAGCAUGGGGAGCAAACAGGAUUAGAUACCCUGGUAGUCCAUGCUGUAAACGAUGUCAACUAGCCGUUGGGGUCUUUAAGACUUUAGUGGCGUAGCUAACGCGAUAAGUUGACCGCCAGGGGAGUACGGUCGCAAGACUAAAACUCAAAUGAAUUGACGGGGGCCCGCACAAGCGGUGGAGCAUGUGGUUUAAUUCGAUGCAACGCGAAGAACCUUACCUAGCCUUGACAUGUCUGGAAUCUUGUAGAGAUACGAGAGUGCCUUCGGGAAUCAGAACACAGGUGCUGCAUGGCUGUCGUCAGCUCGUGUCGUGAGAUGUUGGGUUAAGUCCCGCAACGAGCGCAACCCUUAUCCUUAUUUGCCAGCACUUCGGGUGGGAACUCUAAGGAGACUGCCGGUGACAAACCGGA
rnacentral:rRNA from 1 species